rnacentral:rRNA from 1 species
GUGCCAGCCGCCGCGGUAAGACGAACCGUGCAAACGUUAUUCGGAAUCACUGGGCUUAAAGCGCGUGUAGGCGGUCCGGCACGUUCGUCGCUGAAAUCCCCCGGCUCAACCGGGGAACGGGCGCGGAUACGACCGGACUGGAGGAGGGUAGGGGGAGCCGGAACUUCCGGUGGAGCGGUGAAAUGCGUUGAGAUCGGAAGGAACGCCCGUGGCGAAAGCGGGCUCCUGGGCCCCACCUGACGCUGAGACGCGAAAGCCAGGGGAGCGAACGGGAUUAGAUACCCUAGUAGUCC